UCGGUUUGAUUAUGUCCGCAGUCGUGUUAAGAUGAUACUAUAUAGUUUUUAUUUAUUCAAAUGGACAAUUAUUAAUAAUCCUGGCAGUUUAUUGUUCGUAGAUACUAUGUACCAGCAUAAUCGGAUAUACCUAGUGAACUUAAACUCUAAAUGCGUUUAAGCCUUAAUUCAAAAAAUUGAACAAUUUUUAGGACUAAUUGGUAGAAUAAGUAGUCUUUUUUUGUUUUUGUUUGGUUUAUAAGAUUGGUUAAAUAUUUUGAAAAAAUGACCUGGAUUAGUACCCAGUUAAUCCAAAUUAAGAAUUUUGCGGGAGUAAAGUUGUAUUUAAACCGGAAGAAUAUUGGGAGACUUUCUAAUUAUCUUUGGAGCUUGAGUAGUAAUAGAGAACCCUCUUUUUCAGCUUGAAUUUUUGUUACAUGUAUGAUCGUUUUUGUUUUCAAUAAGAGUUGACAUUAAAAUUCCUAUUUUUGGUUUAAUUAAUAAAACAGAUAAAUACCUGGAUUAUGUUUAAGUUUUUAAUUUGGGCUACAUUAUUUUAUGAUGUGGAUUAUAUUGAGAGAUUGAUAUAUGAAAAUGGAAAAGACAGUAAAAUGAUUUUAAUGGUUAUUUGAAGAAUUAAAGGAAGUGGUACAAAUCAUCCAUCAAUUGCCCACAGGGGAGUAAGUUGUAGUAUAGUAGGUGUAGGGUAACCUGUACCUAGG
rnacentral:ncRNA from 1 species